AGACGACGUUCCCAUGGCGACCAUGCUGUUAACGCUUUAUAGAGGCCCCAGAGACUCAACAGCACAUAACUUCCGAUGAAAGACCAUCGUAUCAAAGAUGGAAGACAGUAUGUUGAGGCUGUCACCAUUGCUGAUAUGAAUGAAACAUACCAAAACUUUGAUUAAUCCAUAUCCCCAACAUGUCUAUCUGCAGAAGCCGACAGUAAAGCUUCUCCCCUUGGUCGAGAUUCAUAAAAAGAUGGUAGAGAAAACUCCCCACCCACGGGGAUACCAACCCAAUCACGUGACACCACGACAGGAACCAUAAUUGUGUCCAUGGCAUCAGCGGUGGCACCGUUGCGAUUAUAUAAAUUAUUGGUAUCGCUGUAAACAAUGCAAACAAUAGGUGGUAUUCAAAAUUUAACCGCAAAGUGUCAAGGUUACUCAAGGACAAGAAAAUAUUUAGUAAUAUUCACGGAAAGAUGUCAAAAAGCAAUUAAAAACAAGAAUAAAGUUAAGGUAUAUACAAAAACACUGUUAUUAAGGUUAAACACUUGAAUUUUUAGGUUAACUCAGGGAAAAAUGUCAAUUUUGGUGUGGUAUUGUUAAAAAUGUGACCUAACCUUCAAAAAACACUUUGACAUCUUCAAUAAAUGACAAUAAAGGAAAGAAUUACGUAAAUCAAAACCAAAAACAAGUGUGGUAUCAAAAAUUUCACCGCAAAGUGUCAAGGUUACUCAAGGACAAGAAAAUAUUUAGUAAUCUUCACGGAAAGAUGUCAAAAAGCUAUAAAAAACAAGAAUUAAGUUGUUAAAGUAUAUGAAAACACUGUUUUUAAAGUUAAACAUUUGAAUUUUUAGGUUAACUCAGUAAAAACUGUCAAUUUUGGUUUGGUAUUGUUAAAAAUGUGACAUAACCUUCAAAAAACACUUUGACAUCUUCAAUAAAUGACAAUAAAGGAAAGAAGUACGUAAAUCAAAACCAAAAACAAGUGUAUGAGUUGAUAUUUUAGGUUAAUUUAGUAAAACAUGAGAUUUUACGAUUUAUAUUGCAAGUGGUAUCAAAAAUUUAACCGCAAAGUGUCAAAGUUACUCAAGGACAAGAAAAUAUUUAGUAAUCUUCAUAUAGAGAUGUCAAAAAGCAAUAAAAAACAAGAAUUAAGUUAAGGUAUAUACAAAAACACUUGAAUUUUUAGGUUAACUUGGUGAAAACUGUCAAUUUUGGUUUGGUAUUGUUAAAAAUGUGACCUAACCUUCAAAAAAACUUUGACAUCUCGUAUAAAUGACGUCAAAGUUGAGUUUCUUGGUGUAUUUGCUUGUUUUAAGUUAAUUUAAUGAUCUAAUAAAAGCACCGGGUUAAAAGUUAAUUAAAAA